rnacentral:tRNA from 64 species
AAAAUCCGUCGAUUUAAAAAAUCGUGAGGGUUCAAGUCCCUCUAU